AUUGAACGCUGGCGGCAGGCCUAACACAUGCAAGUCGAGCGGAUGAAGGGAGCUUGCUCCUGGAUUCAGCGGCGGACGGGUGAGUAAUGCCUAUGAAUCUGCCUGGUAGUGGGGGAUAACGUCCGGAAACGGGCGCUAAUACCGCAUACGUCCUGCGGGAGAAAGUGGGGGAUCUUCGGACCUCACGCUAUCAGAUGAGCCUAGGUCGGAUUAGCUAGUUGGUGGGGUAAAGGCCUACCAAGGCGACGAUCCGUAACUGGUCUGAGAGGAUGAUCAGUCACACUGGAACUGAGACACGGUCCAGACUCCUACGGGAGGCAGCAGUGGGGAAUAUUGGACAAUGGGCGAAAGCCUGAUCCAGCCAUGCCGCGUGUGUGAAGAAGGUCUUCGGAUUGUAAAGCACUUUAAGUUGGGAGGAAGGGCAGUAAGUUAAUACCUUGCUGUUUUGACGUUACCAACAGAAUAAGCACCGGCUAACUUCGUG
rnacentral:rRNA from 1 species